rnacentral:misc_RNA from 1 species
UCGUAGAGCUUCGGCUCCUUCGAGGGAGAACCCUUGCCUUUUCGAGCACCUGUUUGUUUCCUCGGCAGGCCCGCCUGCCAAUGGGGACCUUUUUAAACCCUUGCGAUAACCUGAGCAAAAAUCGUCUGAGCAAAAAAAAAUCUAAAUCA